GGCUCAGGGACCGCCCCGCUGCCCCGCGGGAGGAGGGAGCGGACCCGGCGGGCCCGGGCUGCGGGGUCAUGGCGGACGGAGUCCGCACCGUGCUCGGCGGUCGCGGGGGCAGCCCGGCCUCCAGCCCCCAGCUGGGUGGCAGGAGCCGCUCGCAGCCGCCGCCGGCUCCGCUCGGCGCGCCCGGGCACGGCUUCCGCAGGGUGACCCUGACCAAGCCCACCUUCUGCCACUGCUGCACCGACUUCAUCUGGGGGCUGGCGGGCUACCAGUGCGAGGUUUGCAACUUUAUGUCUCAUGAAAAGUGCCUCAAGCAUGUGAAGAUACCAUGCUCGUGUAUUGCGCUGAGUCUCGUAAGGGUUCCAGUUGCACAUUGUUUUGGACUUCCGGGACAUUACAAAAAAAAGUUUUGCACCGUGUGCAGAAAGCAGUUGGAGUCCCUUGCAUUUCGAUGUGAAGUGUGUGAACUACACGUGCAUACAGAUUGUGUCCCAUUUGCUUGUAGCGAUUGUCGUCAGUGCCAUCAAGAUGGGCAUCACGAUCAUGAUACAUACCAUCAUCAUUGGAGGGAGGGAAAUCUCUCGUCCAGUGCUCGUUGUGAAGUCUGCAAGAAAACCUGUGGUUCUUCAGAGGUGCUGUCUGGCAUGAGGUGUGAGUGGUGUGGCAUUCUGGCUCAUGCUUCUUGCUACAUUAUUGUACCACCAGAAUGUACUUUUGGAAGAUUAAGAAAUAUGAUUCUUCCUCCGAAUUGUGUGCGUUUAGUUUCUCGCAAUUUCAGCAAAAUGCACUGUUUUCGAAUAUCCGAGAGCCUGCAAACAGAACCAGAUGAAGAUGAGGAUGUUGAUGGCUUAACACAAGGGUCAGUGAAAGAUGCCCAGAUUUCAACAGAUUCAAGUAAACAAACAUUAAAGAUAUUUGAUGGGAAUGAUGCAGUAAAACGCAAUCAAUUUCGACUGAUUUCCGUUCCAAGGAUUGCAAAAAGUGAAGAGGUUGUGGAGGCAGCGCUGAGGGCAUACUACGUAAAUGAUGAUCAACAGCACUAUGAGCUCCAGACAUUUUCUCAGCAGACCUUGUUUUCUGAUGACAUCGUCAACAGGAAUGAUGCCACUGAAGAAACCAACCCAGGUCCAGUGUUCAGAGAGGCGGUUCCCGAAGCUUGGAUCAUCAGAGCCAAAUCUAAGGAUCACGAAGUAAUAAGAAUUUAUCCUGGUUGGCUGAAAGUGGGAAUGGCAUAUAUCUCUCUACGAAUAAAUAAGGAAAGCACCACCCAGACAGUAAUUAAAGAAGUCCUCCUGCAAUUAGGACUGCAGACGGAAUGCCUCCAGAAUUUCAAACUUCUUGAAGUACUUAUGGGCAGUAAGCAAGUGCAGCGAAUGGUGCUGGAUGACCAGGAGAUGAUCCUUAGCAGACUUAAGGACAUAAGAAAGACUUCAAUACGUCAGAUGACUCAAACAAGAUUUUACAUUGUAGAAAAUAGUAAAUCUGUUGUGCGGGUAAAUUUGUUUGUGGGUGGCUUGCCACCUCAACUCUCUGCUGAAGAAUACACUAACAUCCUCAAGGAUGACUUAGCUAUCAAAACAAAUCUCCUUUCUUUGAGUCAUGUUUACUCAAUGCAAGGUGCUGUUGUACUUGAAAUGUUUUGUUUUUCUGAAGCUGAAAGAAUAUAUAUGCUAGCUAAAGAUACAACGGUCAGUGACAAACAGCUUACUGCUGCUGUGAUUCCCGAAGUUCUGCAUACCAAGCUACCACAGAACUGCUGUCCACUGCUUGUGUUUGUGAAUCCCAAAAGUGGAGGUCUGAAAGGCCGAGAUCUACUCUACAGUUUUAGAAAACUGCUAAAUCCUCAUCAGGUUUUUGAACUCACUAAUGGAGGUCCACUGCCUGGAUUUCAUACAUUCUCUCAAGUUCCCUAUUUCCGAGUGCUGGUGUGCGGUGGCGAUGGCACAGUUGGUUGGGUCCUGGGUGCGCUGGAGGAAAUCAGACACAUGCUCGUCUGUUCAGAGCCCUCUGUAGCCAUCUUACCUUUAGGAACAGGUAAUGAUUUAGGGAGGGUGCUUCGCUGGGGAGCUGGUUAUAGUGGGGAAGAUCCCUACUCGGUUCUGAUAUCUGUAGAUGAAGCUGAUGAUGUACUUAUGGAUCGCUGGACCAUCCUUUUAGAUGCUCAGGAGGCUGUUGAAAGUGCAGAGAAUGGUAUUUUGGAACCUGAGCCUCCAAAGAUUGUACAAAUGAACAACUAUUGUGGCCUUGGAAUUGAUGCAGAAUUGAGCUUGGGCUUUCACCAUGCUCGAGAAGAAGAACCAGGCAAAUUUAAUAGCAGAUUUCACAACAAAGGAGUAUACGUAAAAGUUGGACUGCAGAGGAUAAGUCACACCAGAAACCUUCACAAAGAUAUAAAACUUCAAGUGGACCAGCAUGAAGUUGAGUUACCAAGUAUCGAGGGACUCAUUUUCAUUAAUAUCCCCAGUUGGGGGUCUGGAGCUGAUCUCUGGGGAUCUGACCAUGAUAAUCGAUUUGAGAAACCAAGAAUCGAUGAUGGCUUACUGGAAGUCGUGGGGGUGACUGGAGUUGUGCACAUGGGUCAAGUACAAGGCGGUCUGCGAUCAGGGAUCCGCAUAGCCCAAGGAUCUUACUUUCGUGUUACGCUUCUGAAACCAAUACCGGUUCAAGUAGAUGGAGAGCCCUGGAUCCAGCCAUCAGGCCAGAUUAUCAUUUCUGUUGCAGGACCAAAGGUCCACAUGUUGAAAAAAUCCAAACAGAAGCCAAAAAAAACUGGAAGCUUGAAAGAGACAAGAACAGAUAGUGUCUCAGUCACUGAAGUGGGACAUUAAAGGAAGCAGACCUUCCCAGAACAGAAGCGGCAGAAAUACUGUCGAUGAAAGGAGCCUGCACUGUACAGAUGGGUGCUGGGUUUUGACUCUACCUGAGUUGACUGCAAAGACCAUGCAGAAACAGUAGCCUCUCUCCUCCAUGGACCACGCCAGAGAGCCUGUCUCACCAGUGCGCCAUUCCUACACUGGCUCCAAUUGAUACUCUGGAUCUGUUUCAUGCUGCUAGUCCUGACCUUCACAGAUUGUAAUGUGCUAAGUCCUGUCUCUCUCCCCCGCUGCCCCAUUGCAGUGGCUGUUAUCUGAAAUAGUGUGGUUUACAAUCCUGAAAAUAGAA